rnacentral:lncRNA from 1 species
CUCAUAGAUUUACUAAUUCAACAUGAACUUAAAUUUCAACGUUUCUCUUAAACCAAACCGAACUACAGGCGCCCAAAAAAUCUAGGACCGUAUUCAACAUGAUUACUAUCCGCUAUGUUGUCCAUGGAGUGAAAUGCCGGUUGUUGCAACAAUUUGACCCUAGAGGCACUCACAAUAUUCUGUUCACUGAAUUUCACCGCUUCUCUCAAGUGCAAUCCAGGCAACUUGAAGGCGAUGAGUUUGCAUGAAGAUGGAGUCUGUUGCAAGAUUUUAGGAGUAAUUUAUUAAUUAAUUGGUACCGAUACAAAUCCAGACAGUGAAAUGCUUCUGUUACAAACCAAAAUGGCAGUUCCAGAAGUUACGGCAGUUUCCAGAUCAGCUAGCAGAGAGCCGCAGUUGCGA